ACCUUUGCUACGUGUUUCAAUGCAAGAAAUCCUGUUAUUUACGAGUCCCGUGAAGAGUCACGUUUCGGAGAAAUACCGAUUAAUUGGCGGUGGCCGCAGAAGGAGGCUUGAGGCAUCCAUGGCUUCGCACGGUGGUUUCUGAUGUCGAAGGCUUUGGAUGAAACGAUAUCGGCCAGAACACAGUCAAAUCGGCUGGUAUGCUGAAAGAAUGGACCAAAUCCGGGUCAAGACUGGUCGAUCCCAAUACGAAUUGUCUGAUCUUGAUUCAGAUUGGCCGAUCUUGAGAAAUGAUCAUGGGUGCAGUGGUACCACCGGAACUGGUAGGGUCAUGAAAUGAAUGUAUGGAUUUUGGGGGAAAAAGAUGGUUACCGUGGUCGGUAUCUAUCAAUGCUGAUCAUGGAUAUUAAGUGGAAAUUUGUAGCCCCUGCUACCUACAAGUCAGUGGUGCCAUUGUCUGACUAUGUCGUCAAAGCGAUCAUUGGGUGUGUCGGCCAGUUGUGGGAAGGUUUCAGUUCUGGAGAGAAAUAAAGGCGAGAAGAAAGAAAAGAAAAGGGGAAAACAGUAUUUAACCCAUUUACCCAUAAAUUAAAGGUUCUUUUUUUGUGCA